AUUGAACGCUGGCGGCAUGCCUUACACAUGCAAGUCGAACGGCAGCACGGGGCAACCUGGUGGCGAGUGGCGAACGGGUGAGUAAUGCAUCGGAACGUACCUUUCAGUGGGGGAUAACGUAGCGAAAGUUACGCUAAUACCGCAUAUUCUGUGAGCAGGAAAGCAGGGGAUCGCAAGACCUUGCGCUGAUUGAGCGGCCGAUGUCAGAUUAGCUAGUUGGUGAGGUAAAGGCUCACCAAGGCGACGAUCUGUAGCGGGUCUGAGCGGAUGAUCCGCCACGCUGGAACUGCGCCACGGUCCAGACUCCUACGGGAGUCAGCAGUGGGGAAUUUUGGACAAUGGGGGCAACCCUGAUCCAGCCAUGCCGCGUGAGUGAAGAAGGCCUUCGGGUUGUAAAGCUCUUUCGGCCGGGAAGAAAUCGCACGGGCUAAUACCCUGUGUGGAUGACGGUACCGGAAUAAGAAGCACCGGCUAACUACGUGCCAGCCGCCGCAGUAAAAC
rnacentral:rRNA from 1 species